AAAAUGAUACGGAACAUGAAAGAUCAGUAUGAAGUUCAGUAUUGCAUCGAUAUUACCAAGAAUGUGAUUUGUAUUUGCACGGCGAAAUCCAAACUUAACCUCUUAGUUAUAGCUUCAAACACACUGUGCGCUAAUGAAACUCUUAAGGUGGACUCAAACACACUAAAAUAACUUGAUACCUUUUGUUCCAUCACCGUCUCUUUUAUAGCUUAUUUAAUUUGAAAUUUGAUCAGUACCAACAAUCUACCUCUUCUCCUUGCUCUUCGGGUAAAUUCCACUUCUUUGGCGGACCAGAGGCCCUUNNNNNNNNNNACCCGGCUCUACAUGAAACCAUUUUGUAGCAUAUAUGAAUUUGUUAAAACAGAAAAUUUCUUUCAAAUGUGUAGUAGCACUCAAAAACUACUAAAUCUUAACAGCAAUAUCUUAUAUGUACAGUGAAAUUCGCUGUUUCAGAACCUAUACAGCUUCAAAAGAUGCCGUUUAAUGUGUCAAAAUGAUACGGAACAUGAAAGAUCAGUAUGAAGUUCAGUAUUGCAUCAAUAUUACCAAGAAUGUGAUUUGUAUUUGCACGGCGAAAUCCAAACUUAACCUCUUGGUUAUAGCUUCAAACACACUGUGCGCUAAUGAAACUCUUAAGGUGGACUCAAACACACUAAAAUAACUAGAUACCUUUUGUUCCAUCACCGUCUCUUUUAUAGCUUAUUUAAUUUGAAAUUUGAUCAGUACCAACAAUCUACCUCUUCUCCUUGUUCUUCGGGUAAAUUCCACUUCUUUGGCGG
rnacentral:lncRNA from 1 species